rnacentral:lncRNA from 1 species
CAGGGAAUGGACGCCAGUGUACUGCCAAUGGCACGGAAUGUAGGAGUGGCUGGGUUGGCCCGAACGGAGGCAUCACCAACUUUGAUAACUUUGCCUUUGCCAUGCUUACUGUGUUUCAGUGCAUCACCAUGGAGGGCUGGACAGAUGUGCUCUACUGGGUAAAUGAUGCGAUAGGAUGGGAAUGGCCAUGGGUGUAUUUUGUUAGUCUGAUCAUCCUUGGCUCAUUUUUCGUCCUUAACCUGGUUCUUGGUGUCCUUAGUGGGUAAGCAGUCGGAUCCGUGUUGCACCUUCUCCUGCUGCCACGUGUGAGGCAACUCUGCGUGUCUCCUAGCUGCUCCCUGACAGCUUCUCUGCAUGUGUUUGGACUCUGAUGUCCUCUCAGUGUGUUGCUUUUGGAUUGAACUGUGAUUCUUUCUGCCUGUAUCUGUCUGUGAGAUUCCGUGUUUCCAAUGCUUGCCAAACACUGUUAAUUUAAUGAAAACGUUCCCCCAAA